rnacentral:rRNA from 1 species
CCUACGGGCGGCAGCAGUGAGGAAUAUUGGUCAAUGGCCGAGAGGCUGAACCAGCCAAGUCGCGUGAGGGAAGACGGCCCUACGGGUUGUAAACCUCUUUUGUCGGGGAGCAAAGAGAGUCACGUGUGACUCAUUGAGAGUACCCGAAGAAAAAGCAACGGCUAACUACGUGCCAGCAGCCGCGGUAAUACGGAGGGGGCAAGCGUUAUCCGGAUUUACUGGGUGUAAAGGGAGCGUAGACGGCAGGGCAAGUCUGGAGUGAAAGGCGGGGGCUCAACCCCCGGACUGCUCUGGAAACUGCCAGGCUGGAGUGCAGGAGAGGUAAGUGGAAUUCCUAGUGUAGCGGUGAAAUGCGUAGAUAUUAGGAGGAACACCAGUGGCGAAGGCGGCUUACUGGACUGUAACUGACGUUGAGGCUCGAAAGCGUGGGGAGCAAACAGGAUUAGAUACCCGUGUAGUC